GAGGAGAGCAAUGCGAAGGGAUGUAAGAUGGCAGAGCUACAAAUGCUGUUAGAGGAGGAAAUCCCCGCCGGCAAGCGAGCUCUGGUGGAGAGCUACCAAAACCUUUCCCGCGUGGCAGAAUACUGUGAAAACAACUAUGUGCAGGCUCAAGACAAAAGGAAAGCCCUGGAGGAGACCAAGUCCUACACCACUCAGUCUCUGGCCAGCGUGGCUUACCAAAUCAAUGCCUUAGCCAACAAUGUGCUCCAGCUACUGGACAUUCAGGCCUCGCAACUACGACGCAUGGAGUCCUCCAUCAACCACAUCUCCCAGACGGUGGACAUUCACAAGGAGAAGGUGGCACGUCGCGAGAUUGGCAUCCUGACCACCAAUAAGAACACCUCUCGCACCCACAAGAUCAUCGCCCCGGGCAACAUGGAGCGGCCAGUGCGCUACAUUCGAAAGCCCAUUGAUUACACCCUGCUGGACGACGUGGGGCACGGAGUCAAGUGGCUUAAAGCCAAGCAAAACGGGAACAAUGCUGCGGGACGGGGAAACCCAGGGACAGGGACAGGGACAGGGACAGGGACAGGGACGCUGUCUCGGACCAACCCCCCAACACAGAAACCACCGAGCCCUCCAAUGGGGGGCCGCGGUACCUUAGGGCGCAACACCCCCUACAAGACCCUGGAGCCUGUGAAGCCUCCAGUGGUGCCCAACGACUACAUGACCAGCCCGGCCCGGCUGGGCAGCCAGCAGAGCCCUGCACGCACAGCCUCGCUAAAUCAGAGGCCCAGGACACACAGCGGCAGCAGUGGUGGAAGUGGCGGCAGGGAAAACAGUGGGAGCAGUGGCGUUGGUGUCCCCUUAGCGGUCCCUACACCGUCCCCUCCCAGUAUGGGCCAAGUGGUGACGUCCUCUGCUUCAGUGCCCCAAGGUCCGGGGCUCGGCCCGAUCCCCAUGUCCCAGUUUGGCACCAUCUCCCGACAGAUCUCGCGCCACAACUCCUCCACCACCUCCUCGGCCUCCAUGGUGUCGGCCACAGGGACAUACCGCCGUGCUCCCUCUCUAUCUUCUCAGCAGCCCCAAAUCAACGGGGGUCCGGCCUUCCCACAAAACUCAGUGUCUGUGGCCCCUCCGCCGCCUCCAAUGGUCCAGCUGACUCCGCAGAUACCCUUGACCGGCUUUGUGGCCAGAAUGCAAGAGAGCAUUACAGACAGCCCGGCUCCGCCUCCUCCGCCACCGCCAGAAGACAUGGGCGUGUUUGAGGAGCCCUCGCCCCCGCCGCCGCCCCCGCCCGUGGACUACGAAGAGGAGGAUGCCUCGGUGGUCCAUUACAGUGACCCCUACGCUGACGGAGAUCCGCACUGGGCUCCGAAGGUGUACUUGGAGAAAGUCGUGGCCAUCUACGACUACAGCAAGGACAAGGAGGACGAGCUGUCCUUCAUGGAAGGAGCCAUCAUUUAUAUCAUCAAGAAAAACGACGACGGCUGGUUCGAAGGCGUCUGCAACGGCGUCACAGGACUCUUCCCAGGAAACUACGUGGAGUCCAUCAUGCACUACGCCGAUUAAGAAAGCAACAAAGGAGCGCUGAGGCACACAAAAGAGCCGUUGGAGCUUUGGAAGAGAGAGGCAUGUGGGCCAUUUAAAUAAUUUGGCGGGCCAGAUCUGGUCUUUGGGCCUUGAGUUUGACGCCCGUGACCUCGGACCCCCAAAGUGGCAGGGGGCCACUAGGUAGCUUUCUUUAGCCAAGCACGUAAUGGAACCCAGUAAAGUGCCUAAAGUUGUUUUAUACGUUAUGUCCUGUAGUUUUCACGGCGUCUGAUCAGUCAUUUUGCAGUGAAAACACAUGAAAAGUCGACCCCGAGAAGCCAGCAGGGAGUGCAGUACCGAGGUGCGACACAAGAGGGCGCCAUUACUCAGCUCAUCGCUCACAAGCUGCCAAGCGUCGCAUCAACAAGCACCAUCCAUCCAUCCAUCCAUUUUCUACCACUUAUUCCCUUUGGGGUCGCGGGGGGCGCUGGAGCCUAUCUCAGCUACAAUCGGGCGGAAGGCGGCGUACACCCUGGACAAGUCGCCACCUCAUCGCAGGGCCAACACAGAUAGACAGACAACAUUCACACUCACAUUCACACACUAGGGCCAAUUUAGUGUUGCCAAUCAACCUAUCCCCAGGUGCAUGUCUUUGGAGGUGGGAGGAAGCCGGAGUACCCGGAGGGAACCCACGCAGUCACAGGGAGAACAUGCAAACUCCACACAGAAAGAUCCCGAGCCCGGGAUUGAACCCAAGACUACUCAGGACCUUCGUAUUGUGAGGCAGAUGCACUAACCCCUCUUCCACCGUGCUGUUUCUAUAGCACAUUUUUCAAAAACACUUUUUUACUUUGAAGGGGAACAGCACUUUUUUCGUAAUUUUGUCUUUGGUUCACAACCUCGAAAAGGACGGUAGAAAAUGCGUUAUGAGAGACAAGAACACACGUUUGUUUUUUUUAGGAUUGUAAAGAUUGGAAAAUGCGGCUAAUAAGAGUCACAGUUGGUACAAAAUGCGGCUGUUAGACUUUUGACAAGAACAAGAAAAUUUGAUCAUAUUACGCCUAUACUGUAUAUACCUCUAUAUACCUUGUGGAGGGGGGCGUGGCCUGCGGGCCUGCCGCGGAGAGGGGUAUGUAGGGACCGGCCUCGAAAGCAGUGGCAGGUGAGUGGAUUGCCCAGCUGGGGCUUGUUAUCUAAUCACCUGUCGCCUUUCUUGGCAGCAGCCGGGCAGAGACACGUUGUUAGAAUGAUUGUUUCUAAAUUAUCACAAAAACUUUGUAUCACAUUGAGUUCCUGACAAGAAGACAAAAGGCUGUCUUUGAAACCUACCAAGAGUAAGGCUCGUAAAAUUCCACUGUGUAAGGGGGGGGAGCAAGAUGAAGGUGUUCCUGUGUUCUUUCAUGUAUGGCAGUGGUCCCCAACCUUUUUGUAACUGCGGACCGGUCAACGCUUGAAAAUUUGUCCCGCGGACCGGUGGUGUUUUUUUUUUUGUCAUAAAAAAAUAAAAUUAUGCGUGCUUACGGACUGUAUCCCUGCACACUGUAUUGACCUAUAUUGAUAUAUAAUGUAGGAACCAGAAUAUUAAUAACAGAAAGAAACAACCCUUUUGUGUGAAUGAGUGUAAAUGGGGGAAGAAGGUUUUUUGGGUUGGUGCACUAAUUGUAAGUGUAUCUUGUGUUUUUUAUGUUGAUUUAAUAAAAUAAAAUAAACUUUUUUUUUUUUUUUAAUUAAUUUCUUGUGCGGCCUGGUACCAAUCGAUCCACGGACCGGUGGUUGGGGACCACUGAUGUAUGGUAAUCAACAGAAGGAUGGUGUUCUGGCCCAAGGACUUUAGAGCGGAGAGAUGACAGGAUCUGCCCAAUUUCCAGACGACCUCUUUUUGAACUAUUUUACAAACUCUUUUUGAACUAUUUUAUGGAACUCUUUUUGAACUAUUUUACGAACUCUUUUUGAACUGACCUUUCCUGUGAAUUGUUUACGACCUUUUCUGUGAACUUUGUGCGACCUUUGUCGUUUGGACACAAAGGUGGCCAUGUGGUCGGGCAGGGUCCAAAAUAAAAGGAGGAGGCGUGCAAUCUUUUGGCAGAGCGUGCUGGAGACUGUGCAAGAGUACAGUGUGUCCAGGCGUGUCUCCUCAAAUGAGUCCAAAUUGAAUUUUGUCUCUGUUUAAUUCUUUGCCUCUUGUCUUGUUUAAUAGAUGUCAUCAGUGUUUGAACCUGACACACACAAAUUGAUGAGAACAGUAAAUUGAUGAGAACCAAUUAAAACAGAAGACCAUUUAAUUUGUAAAAUUAUAUCAUUUAAACCAUUUUGGUUGUAUAAAACGCUUAAAGGUGAAAGGAUGUGUUGAAGUGCUGAUGUAUUUAACAGUGCAAGUGAUAUAAAGUGAUCAACAUUUAGGAUUCAAAGGUGUUGUAAUAAAAGUGUA